GUCCUGUUUUCAGCAUGCAAAAUUCGUAAUACAGAAUAAUACUGUAAAAGCAUUGCAUUGUGGGAUUGAUUUCCUUCGCGCUCAAUAUUUGAAUGUAAGCAGAGCUAGUGGAAGUUCGGACGCCCUGUAUUUGUUAGGAUUGGUUAUUCAUAUAAACAACGACGAUAUGAAGACAACGCGUUCAACUUUUAAUCUAUAUCUGCAUGUGAUGUGAAAACGUACACGGAACAAUUAAAAGUUACACGACGACGCGGCAGAAAUGAGAGGAUUAUGCAGCAAGAAGAUGGGGAAAAUACAAUGUGUCUGUGAUGAAGAUAAACGAAGAUUGACUGACUGUGCAUCAUUGACACGGUCUGUCUCUAAGCAACCAGCGAUGUUGAGCAUGGACGGUCAGGUGGUGUGUGAAGGAGAGCAGCGCAACUUUGUCUCUGGUCUUGGCAACGCUGAUUGCCUCAUUCAUACAGUUUUAACCUCCAGGAUCAGGAAGUGGUGGCAUGCACCCUUGGGUUUGUUCAGAGAUGAUUUCUCUACAUCAACCUGAAACGUGGAUCAAAGAUGAAGAAAGGGAAAAAGAACACUACAGUGAAUCCACAGGUUUUCACUCUUCUUAGAAAACUUACAGACUUUAAAUGCAGUUUUGUUUA